AAAGGAAUUGACGGGGGCCCGCACAAGCGGUGGAGCAUGUGGUUUAAUUUGAAGCAACGCGAAGAACCUUACCAGGUCUUGACAUCCUCUGACAACUCUAGAGAUAGAGCGUUCCCCUUCGGGGGACAGAGUGACAGGUGGUGCAUGGUUGUCGUCAGCUCGUGUCGUGAGAUGUUGGGUUAAGUCCCGCAACGAGCGCAACCCUUGAUCUUAGUUGCCAGCAUUUAGUUGGGCACUCUAAGGUGACUGCCGGUGACAAACCGGAGGAAGGUGGGGAUGACGUCAAAUCAUCAUGCCCCUUAUGACCUGGGCUACACACGYGCUACAAUGGAUGGUACAAAGGGCUGCAAGACCGCGAGGUCAAGCCAAUCCCAUAAAACCAUUCUCAGUUCGGAUUGUAGGCUGCAACUCGCCUACAUGAAGCUGGAAUCGCUAGUAAUCGCGGAUCAGCAUG
rnacentral:rRNA from 2 species